AGCGAACGCUGGCGGCAGGCUUAACACAUGCAAGUCGAGCGGGCGUAGCAAUACGUCAGCGGCAGACGGGUGAGUAACGUGUGGGAACGUACCUUUUGGUUCGGAACAACCCAGGGAAACUUGGGCUAAUACCGGAUAAGCCCUUACGGGGAAAGAUUUAUCACCGAAAGAUGGGCCUGAGUCUGAUUAGCUAGUUGGUGAGGUAACGGCGCACCAAGGCGACGAUCAGUAGCUGGUCUGAGAGGAUGAGCAGCCACAUUGGGACUGAGACACGGCCCAAACUCCUACGGGAGGCAGCAGUGGGGAAUAUUGGACAAUGGUCGCAAGCCUGAUCCAGCCAUGCCGCGUGAGUGAUGAAGGCCCUAGGGUUGUAAAGCUCUUUUGUGCGGGAAGAUAAUGACGGUACCGCAAGAAUAAGCCCCGGCUAACUUCGUGCCAGCCGCCGCCGUAAAAC
rnacentral:rRNA from 1 species